GAUGAACGCUGGCGGCGUGCUUAACACAUGCAAGUCGAACGAUGAAGCCCAGCUUGCUGGGUGGAUUAGUGGCGAACGGGUGAGUAACACGUGAGUAACCUGCCCUUAACUCUGGGAUAAGCCUGGGAAACUGGGUCUAAUACCGGAUAGGAGCGUCCACCGCAUGGUGGGUGUUGGAAAGAUUUAUCGGUUUUGGAUGGACUUGCGGCCUAUCAGCUUGUUGGUGAGGUAAUGGCUCACCAAGGCGACGACGGGUAGCCGGCCUGAGAGGGUGACCGGCCACACUGGGACUGAGACACGGCCCAGACUCCUACGGGAGGCAGCAGUGGGGAAUAUUGCACAAUGGGCGCAAGCCUGAUGCAGCGACGCCGCGUGAGGGAUGACGGCCUUCGGGUUGUAAACCUCUUUCAGUAGGGAAGAAGCGAAAGUGACGGUACCUGCAGAAGAAGCACCGGCUAACUACGUG
rnacentral:rRNA from 1 species